rnacentral:rRNA from 1 species
AUUGAACGCUGGCGGCAUGCUUUACACAUGCAAGUCGAACGGCAGCGCGGGCUUCGGCCUGGCGGCGAGUGGCGAACGGGUGAGUAAUACAUCGGAACGUGCCCAGUAGUGGGGGAUAGCUCGGCGAAAGCCGGAUUAAUACCGCAUACGACCUGAGGGUGAAAGCGGGGAAUCUUCGGACCUCGCGCUAUUGGAGCGGCCGAUGGCAGAUUAGCUAGUUGGUGGGGUAAAGGCCUACCAAGGCGACGAUCUGUAGCUGGUCUGAGAGGACGACCAGCCACACUGGGACUGAGACACGGCCCAGACUCCUACGGGAGGCAGCAGUGGGGAAUUUUGGACAAUGGGCGAAAGCCUGAUCCAGCAAUGCCGCGUGUGUGAUGAAGGCCUUCGGGUUGUAAAGCACUUUUGGCGGGAACGAAAAGGACUGUGCCAAUACCACGGUUCGAUGACGGUACCCGCAGAAUAAGCACCGGCUAACUACGUG